UACAGAGGGUGCAAGCGUUGGGCGGAAUUAUUGGGCGUAAAGCGCGUGUAGGCGGCUUGGCAAGUCAGAUGUGAAAGCCCUCGGCUUAACCGAGGAAGUGCGUCUGAAACUGCUGAGCUUGAGUGUCGGAGAGGAUGGCGGAAUUCCGCAAGUAGAGGUGAAAUUCGUAGAUAUGCGGAGGAACACCGGUGGCGAAGGCGGCCAUCUGGACGACUACUGACGCUGAGACGCGAAAGCGUGGGGAGCAAACAGG
rnacentral:rRNA from 1 species